ACACAUGCAGUCGAACGCUGAAGCUUGGGUGUUUACAUCUGGGUGGAUGAGUGGCGAACGGGUGAGUAAUACGUGAGUAACCUGCCCUUGACUCUGGGAUAAGCCUGGGAAACUGGGUCUAAUACUGGAUACUACACAUUCUCGCAUGGGGGUGUGUGGAAAGGGUUUUACUGGUUUUGGAUGGGCUCACGGCCUAUCAGCUUGUUGGUGGGGUAAUGGCCUACCAAGGCGACGACGGGUAGCCGGCCUGAGAGGGUGACCGGCCACACUGGGACUGAGACACGGCCCAGACUCCUACGGGAGGCAGCAGUGGGGAAUAUUGCACAAUGGGCGA
rnacentral:rRNA from 1 species